rnacentral:sRNA from 1 species
CCCACGGUAGAAGAGACGGGGGUUUUGAAGCCGUGUGGCUGUGUGACAUUUCACCUUCAUUUGUUCACUGCCUGAAUGUGAAUGUAAUUUUGGCUGGGUUCUAUAAACCCCAGGCUUGGAAUGAUUCAGAUUUUGGAGAAUUUGCUGUCCUCAAAUCCCAAGUAAUUUUCUUCUCUCCCUUAGGCACUAUGUCGUCCGAGGCCCAGAGAUGACCCCUUAUGAAGGUGGCUAUUAUCAUGGAAAACUAAUUUUUCCCAGAGAAUUUCCUUUCAAACCUCCCAGUAUCUAUAUGAUCACUCCCAACGGGAGGUUUAAGUGCAACACCAGGUAAGGUGCCUGGAGGGGCCGCGGAGGUUUUCUGGCUGCGGUGGGGAGUGUGCACUGACGGGGCCCCCGUUUCGCAGGCUGUGUCU